AGUGAACGCUGGCGGUAGGCCUAACACAUGCAAGUCGAACGGCAGCACAGUAAGAGCUUGCUCUUACGGGUGGCGAGUGGCGGACGGGUGAGGAAUACAUCGGAAUCUACUUUUUCGUGGGGGAUAACGUAGGGAAACUUACGCUAAUACCGCAUACGACCUACGGGUGAAAGCAGGGGAUCUUCGGACCUUGCGCGAUUGAAUGAGCCGAUGUCGGAUUAGCUAGUUGGCGGGGUAAAGGCCCACCAAGGCGACGAUCCGUAGCUGGUCUGAGAGGAUGAUCAGACACACUGGACCUGAGACACGGUCCAGACUCCUACGGGAGGCAGCAGUGGGGAAUAUUGGACAAUGGGCGCAAGCCUGAUCCAGCCAUACCGCGUGGGUGAAGAAGGCCUUCGGGUUGUAAAGCCCUUUUGUUGGGAAAGAAAAGCAGCAGGUUAAUACCCCGCCGUUCUGACGGUACCCAAAGAAUAAGCACCGGCUAACUUCGUG
rnacentral:rRNA from 1 species